rnacentral:lncRNA from 10 species
CUGGGGAGGAGCUGCGGGUUCCAGAGGCAGAGCCCUGUGGGCUGGAAUUUUAGAGUAACCAUUUUGUAGAUAUCAGAUCCAAAUGAAGCUGGAUAUACAGAGAAGUGUGCCGCAGAGAGAGGAAGAAAAUGCACCACUUUUUGAUGGCUACGAUGUGCCAUAUUUUGUGACAUGGACUUUCAUAUACAUUUUCUACUUAAUAUGCACAGCGAUCCUCAAAGACAAGCAUGUCUAUGAAUUUCAUAAGAAAAAUCUCUGUUGUGUCUGUCAUAGAAGGAUAACAAUCAGAGGCUCAUGGACUGAAGAACAAAAAAACAUGAGAUGAUGAACCUCAAGUACCACCCCAGACAACAAGGCUGCUUCAUCAGGACACAAACCUGCCUGUACCAGGACCUCUGACCUGUGUGCAGAGACACUGAGGAUACCAUUGGCAUCAAUGUCAAAAGUGACUUCAAUCUGAGGAACACCUUGGGGUUCAGGAGGUAUGCCCGUGAAUUCAAACUUGCCAAGCAGGUUGUUAUCCUUGGACAUGGCACGCUCACCUUCAUAAACCUGAAUAAGCACACCAGGCUGGUUGUCAGAAUAGGUAAUGAAGGUCUGUGUCUGCUUGGUAGGAAUGGUGGUAUUACAGUUGAUGAGGAUGGUCAUGACUCCACUAGCAGUUUCAAUACCAAGGGAAAGAGGAGUGACGUCCAAGAGCAGCAAAUCUUGAACAUUU